CCACAUGCCCCCUCGGCGGUGUAGAGUGCCACUGCGAAUGCCUCUGGAUGGUUGUCGGCUGGAUCCCGAUCUCACCCCAUGAGUAAUGAGAGGCCUUAAGAUCCCAGAGGUACCGUAUAGGAAGUCCAGAAAGUGUUGAGGUUUCUACUUCCUGCAAACAUAAGGGGAAGCAGGACCAGAGAGGAACCCCUCACCGACAGCCACCAGCUGCGUAUGCCAGGCCCGUUGCCCAAGGAUGCCGAGGAUGACCCCGCAGGUUGGCAGGUGGCCAAGAGGAGAUCCCAACUGCCUUCUUCUCUUAGCCCGGGUGACAGUGUGGCAUGCCUCCCGACCUCUCUUCCUUCCUCCUCUGGACGAAGCGAUGACACAAGACAAUAAGGAAACGGUCCUUGCCUGAACCUGUGAGUUUGCAUUCCUUGUCAUCAGACACAUGCAGCCAUGAGGUAAAGGACUUGCCCCCCGGCGGGCGAGCUGGGCUAUCAAAGCUACAAUCACCUGUUCUUAAGACAGCCACUGAGAGAAGUUAUUCAGACAAAACAUUUGGGGGCCCUUUCCAAUGGGGCCUUUCUCACUUAAAUAAUAAGCUCCCUGUCAAGUUUUAUUUGACAGACUCAGCAUACGACAGGCCAGGCUUGCAGAUUUUUCUGAGCCUACUUCCCCCUCGAGUCUGCCUGUGGUUAAUCAUACUCCUGCAAGAGACAGUUUCUCGUCCAGCCUGGGCGCUCACAUUCUGUGACUCCACCCAAGGUCCAGGACUUCUGAGCCUGCUAUCACCAAACACAAGCCCCAAACUGAAACAAGGACACUCUAAGUGGUGGACCUAGUGAAGUCAGCUUAGUGCCAGCCCUUAUUCCCCGCAGGUAAUAAGACCAAAUAUUCUGCCUGACUUUACCACGAUACUUUAAGGUCCGUUUCCAUCACCCUUCAUGAUGUGGCACCAUGAUAGGCAUGUAGGUGGGGAGGUACCAGGUAUUGAGGCUGGGCAGGGAGCAGGGGCAGUGGGAUGUGGGCUGGCCUUGGACCUUGCUACUUCCUACCUGGCUGGCCUGGGCACCACCUGACACUCUAAGAAAUCUUUUCCCUCAUUUCAUCUUCCUCAUGGAGACAGAAACACUUAUCCUGCAAGGUGGUUUUAAAAGGUAGCAACUGGAAGUUCCCUGGUGGUCUAGUGGUUAGGAUUCAGCACAUUCACCUCUGCAGCCAGGGUUCAAUCCCUGCUCUGGGAACUAAGGUCCCACAUCAAGCCACUGCAUGCCAUGGCCAAAAAAAAAAAAAAAAAA
rnacentral:lncRNA from 1 species